AUGGCACUGGAGGUCUGCCUCCCAGCUACCACGCAGGGACCCUUCGUCUACCCUUUGGCCUCAUGCUGCAGUGACAAAGACAAAAAAACAGACGUGACCCUGGGCUGCCUAGUGUUUGGAUUCUUCCCAGAGCCGGUGACCAUAACCUGGGACACUGGUUCCCAGAACAGCAGUGUUGUGACCUUCCCUUCCACCAUCCUUGAGGCCUCUGGCCUCUACACCACAGUGAGCCAGGUGACCACGCCAAGUGAAUUGGCCCAAAAGGAGUUCACCUGCACCGUGGUCCAUGACCCAUCCAACAGCAACAUCAUCAAGACCGUCAACGACUGUUCCACGAAUGUCAUCUCGCCCACUGUGAAGCUCUUCCACACAGCUUGUGACCCCCGCGGUGACUCCCAGUCUACCAUUCAGCUGAUGUGCCUCAUCAAUGGAUACACCCCAGGGGAAAUUGAAAUUUCCUGGCUGGUAAAUGGAAAGAAGACCCAGGACCUCAAACCAUUCAUAGGCCAACCCAAGAAGGAGGGAGAGUUGGCCUCCACCUACAGUGAGGUCAACAUCACCCAGGGCCAGUGGGUGUCUGAAAAGACCUACACCUGCCAUGUCACCAUCCGCGGCAGGUCCUAUGAGUCCAGUGCCCGGAAGUGCUUAGAUUCUGAACCCCGAGGAGUGAGCGUCUACCUCAUCCCACCCAGUCCCUUUGAGCUAUACGUCAAGAAGACACCUAAGCUCACCUGCCUGGUGGUGGACCUGGCCAGUGGGAAAGAUGUGAAGGUGACCUGGUCCCGGGACAGGAGGAUCUCUGUGCAUGCUGACCCACUCAUUGUCAAGAAUCAAGUCAACGCAACAGUCACCAUCAAGUCAACCCUGCCAGUGGAGAGCAGAGACUGGAUUGAAGGCGAGACUUACCGUUGUGUGGUGUCCCAUCCACAUCUGCCAAGGGACAUUGAACAGUCUAUCACCAAUGUCCGGGGCAAGCGCUUGGCUCCUGAGGUCUACGUGUUCUCGCCACCCGAAGUGAAUCAGGAUGGCAAGGACAGGCUCACCUUGACCUGCCUAGUCCAUAAUUUCUUCCCCCGUGACAUCUCUGUGCAAUGGCUGCGUGACCAGGUGCUUAUAGAGUCAGAGAACAAGGUCUGCACCACUGGACCCCAUCUGACCAGCAGCCAUACCUUCUUUAUCAUCAGCCUCCUGGAGGUCAGCAAGUCCGACUGGGAGCAGCAGAACAAUUUUGUCUGCCGGGUGGUCCAUGAGGCACUGGAUGAGCCCAAGACUCUUGAGAAAUUGGCAUUGAAAGGCUCCGAGCUGGACCUUCAGAACCUGUGCAUGGAGGAUGCUGAGAGCAGGGAGCUGGAUGAGCUGUGGACCAGCACCUAUGUCUUCAUUGCUCUCUUCCUGAUCAGCGUGAGCUACAGUGCCACAAUCACACUCUUCAAGGUACAAUGGCUCAUCUCAACCGUGUGGCAAGAGAAGCUCCAGGACUCCCACUACUACAUGCCAAAGACCAGCCCCAGCCUCUUCCCACUGAGCCUCCAGAGUGCUGCCCCAGAUGGGAAUGUUGUCAUCGCUUGCCUGGUCCAAGGCUUCUUCCCAGCGGAGCCCUUGAAUUUGACCUGGAACCAGAGUGGAGAGGGUGUGACUAUCAGGAAUUUCCCUGCAAUCAAGGCCAGUGACAGCAGCCUGUACACCAUGAGCAGCCAGAUCACCUUGCCAGCCGCCCAGUGCCAAGACACCUCGUCCCUCCAGUGUCAUGUGCAGCAGGACUCUAGCCCAGGGAAGGUGGUCAACGUGCCCUGCAAAGUGAACACAUUCCCACCCCUGGUCCACCUGCUACCGCCACCAUCAGAGGAGCUUGCCCUGAAUGAACUGGUGACACUGACAUGUGUGGUGCGUGGCUUCAGUCCCCAAGAUGUGCUGGUGCGCUGGCUGCGUGAGACCCAGGAGCUGCCCCAGAGUGACUACCUGACCUGGGCCUCAGAAAAGGAGCCCAGCCAGGGCAUCCCUACCUUCGCUGUGACCAGUAUUCUUCGUGUGACGGCAGAGGCCUGGAAGCAGGGAGAUAACUUUUCCUGCAUGGUGGGUCACGAGGCCUUGCCCCUGGCCUUCACCCAGAAGACCAUCAACAAAUUGGCCGGUAAACCCACCCACGUCAAUGUGUCUGUGGUCAUGGCCGAGGUAGAUGGCAUCUGCUACUGA